CUUACUCUCCUUUACGGGGGCAGCAGUAGGGAAUCUUCCGCAAUGGACGAAAGUCUGACGGAGCAACGCCGCGUGAGUGAUGAAGGCUUUCGGGUCGUAAAACUCUGUUGUUAGGGAAGAACAAGUACAAGAGUAACUGCUUGUACCUUGACGGUACCUAACCAGAAAGCCACGGCUAACUACGUGCCAGCAGCCGCGGUAAUACGUAGGUGGCAAGCGUUAUCCGGAAUUAUUGGGCGUAAAGCGCGCGCAGGCGGUUUCUUAAGUCUGAUGUGAAAGCCCACGGCUCAACCGUGGAGGGUCAUUGGAAACUGGGGAACUUGAGUGCAGAAGAGAAAAGCGGAAUUCCACGUGUAGCGGUGAAAUGCGUAGAGAUGUGGAGGAACACCAGUGGCGAAGGCGGCUUUUUGGUCUGUAACUGACGCUGAGCGCGUAGCUACUC
rnacentral:rRNA from 1 species